rnacentral:rRNA from 1 species
CCCUUAGAUGUCCUGGGCCGCACGCGUGCUACACUGACACUUACACCGAGUUUUUCCAAUGCCGAAAGGCCAUUGGUAAUCAGCAAUAAGUGUCGUGAUGGGGAUAGAUCUUUGGAAUUAUUGAUCUUGAACGAGGAAUGCCUAGUAAUCGCAAGUCAUAAGCUUGCGUUGAUUACGUCCCUGCCCUUUGUACACACCGCCCGUCGCUCCUACCGAUUUCGAGUGGUUCGGUGAACCUUUCGGACCGGCAAUGCCUCGUGUUGCGCCGGAAAGUCAAGUAAACCAUAUCACUUAGAGGAAGGAGAAGUCGUAACA